rnacentral:rRNA from 1 species
UACGGAGGGUGCGGGCGUUGUCCGGAAUCAUUGGGCGUAAAGGGCGCGUAGGCGGAUCGUUAAGUCAGAGGUGAAAGCCCAGGGCUCAACCCUGGAAUUGCCUUUUGAUACUGGCGAUCUUGAGUACGGGAGAGGUGUGUGGAACUCCGAGUGUAGAGGUGAAAUUCGUAGAUAUUCGCAAGAACACCAGUGGCGAAGGCGGCUCACCUGGCCCGAUACUG